CUAUAUCAAGCGGCUGGAAAGGAAGACAGAAGGGAAAAUUCUUUGCAUGUUACAGGGCUGGGGUGUGCAGUCAGGGUUUUCCUUUCCAACACUUUACAUCAUGUCUUAUUUUCUUAAUAUUAGUAACAAUAUUAAGAACAAAAAAAAAUGAGUUCAAGUAGAAAUUAAUAGAGUAGGAAUACAUAACCUGGAUGUUCGUUUGCUCUCACUUUAUCCUUGCUAACCUUUGCAAAAACAUCUGGAAUUUCUCCCCUGGUGCUUCCAAGGAGAUCGUAAUUACAAUGUAGAUCCCGGAAAAGACACCUCCCAACGAGGUGACAUUCGUGACCCCUUGGAUCAAGGUCAGCACUUACAGUAUGCUAUUUAAGUACUGAAACACAGUUUCCUGCAAAACCUUCCAAGUCAGUAUACACAUCUGUUGCUUCGAAUUAUUUAAACCGCCCUGUAAAUGUGCCAAAUGUCCUGCUUUAGUGGGUUCUGGCUUGCCCCCAGCAGGGGUGGCUGCAGUAGUUAGUUGGGGUCCACUUGGUCCAGGUUUUUAAUUUGCAACAAUAUUGGAAGGGUUAUUUAAUAUAGGAGUUUUAAAUGCUAUAAAAUAUAUAGCCAAGAAAGACUGAGUUCUUGAUGUAUGCAUACAAUCCCAAACUCCUUAAUACUAAAAAUCAAGAGACCAAAACCCUUAAGCUUCUGUUCCCAGGAGAUUAUAAUAGUUUCACAAAAGCUCCCAUGUUUCUGUUUAGACCCUGAGAAGGGCUCUUUCCACCAGAGAAGACAGAGGUCCUUGGCCCCACCUCUGAGGUGGGCACAGCCUAACCCAGCCCAGAUGGCUCUCACGGCCAGGGCCAUGACACGUCCUGGCUGAAGGUCGCUGUACACAGCAGCAGGGCCCCGGAAAUAUGAACUCAACCAAAUUGUAGCAUAGAGAACUCCACAACAAUUAAACUCUGGACACAAAUGAAAUCCACCAGGGACAAAAAUCUGUUUCAGUAACUACUGCCAACAUCGGACUUUCCCCUGCCCUGUGAUGGGGAAAAGAGGGCAAGUUAAGAGCCACCCUCCCCUAACUUUGUGCUCCAGCAGCCACUGAAAAGGGCCACCUUCCCCACAUAACACAGACAAGACUCACCAGUGACAGGGCCAGAAUCAGACCCUCUGCCUUCCCAUUCUUUGUCCCACAGAUGUGUAGCUGAACUGCUUUGACUCCACUGAUCUAUCUUAAAAAAAUACUUGUUAGCCAAACUUUUGACUCAGCUUCUCCUCUUGGCCAAGCCCAACCAUGAACGCUGGAACGAGGACCCCACCCUCCCCUCCAUCUCUUCUCAGUGGGCCAACCCAUUUCCUGCCCACUGUCCACUGCGCCACGGGCCCCUCCAUGCCUCACCCAGGUGUUCUAGGCUUGGUUACUCCCUCCUCCUAAAACAAAAGUGCUUUUCUGCCUGAGACGCUUGAACAUCUUGGGGUCAGAGCAUUCGCCCUGUGUCGUGAAGUCCCCUCCCUCUCUCGAAAUUAGAACUUCAGGUAAGCUCUCUGCUUACCUGAGCCUGGAUUUGUGUUUCACUGAAACACAGAGAAGACAGAGAGGACACUACACUGGCUGAGAACUACCGUAAGUCCUUAAUAACAACGAAAAAUGAACAACAGAGAGGGCCCCAGGUUCUGGCAACAUGGCGAACCUGUGAACUAGGGAAGCCCUCCCAGCACAGAAAAUGCCCGGAAAAUAAAAACAAACAGAACAUUUUAAACUUCAUGACUGUGUAAGUAGAAAAAUAAGGUGAGUCUUAGAGGUCUGAAUCUGUAAGAACAGGCAGCCUUGAUUGGCUGAGGCUGUGAUUUUCUUACAAGGAAAACGUGGCCAAGGCAUGGGGGUUCAUAGGCUUCACCUGAGGGUGGUAGAAACGGCCUUUGUAAGUUUGAGUCCUGCAAAGGGGACAAUUACAGCAUAAGAAAAGGGGACAGGCCCUCAGGAUAAUCACUCUGUUUGAAUUCUGGUGGAGGGGGAAAUGAGACCAAAAAUAUCAUCCCAGAAUCUUCCUCAACUCAGUGCUUUAAUUUGGGGUUCAAUUCAUGCUGUCUCUGUGGCCCAAGUCCUAAUUCUAGAAUGGAAAGAUCAGUACCAGGCAGAAGCAAACACACUCCUCUUUGGGGCAAAACACUUUAAAGACAGGCCUGGGCCACGUUCCAGGCCUUUAGGAGACUCUCCUAGGAAAGUGGGAUCUGAUUUGCUCCAGUUGUGGAGCCUGGGAAGGUGGUUGUGGGGGAAGGUUGUGCCUUUCUGAGCAGCCUCUGAGAGCUGAGUCAAGAAGUUAGAGGAGAGCUGGUGCCUGGUUGGGCCUGGCCAGUAACUCCUGCAGGAACUCAAGGCCGACCCUGAGCCCAGAAAGGUUCCCGAUGAUUAACAGGAGGCUCUGAAAAAUGCAUCAUUUAUUCUUAGCAUUGUCAAAUUGCUUGACCCAAGUCAGAGGUGAUUUUUUGGUUAUUUAUUAUUUGCAAAGCAUCGUGGCUUUACCCUGCAGGGGCCAUUGCCCCUCACAAGGAAUGCAGCAAGGAGCUUGGAAGCAGACAGCUGUGGGGAAGGACCAGCAUGGGUGGGGGUGCUUUGAGAGAGACAGAGGGCCUUUGCUCUUGCACCGGAGACACAUGGUGCCACUAAGAGUUGCGAAGGGGAAAGAAUGUGUGAAGACACAGAUACCUUGAGGGACAGUUAUUCCUCUAACUCAGGAAUGAGGAUGGUUCAACUCACACUAUUUCAAGCCUUCCAAGUAAACAGUAGUUAGUAAAAACACAAUACCUGUCUCUAAUAUUACUUGCUUAAAUAUAUGGACAUAUGAAAAUGUAUCUCAAAAAAAUAAUCUAACGAGAAGGAGAAAAGUAUAAUAAAGGUGUUUAUUGCAGUGAUAAAAAUAUCCAACAACAGUAGUAAAUGUAAGAGUCUUGCAGUCAAGCUUUAUUGUUCAAUAAUCAAAAUAAAACGUUGAUUAUGUAGCAACACA